rnacentral:tRNA from 1 species
GGAAAGAUGGCAGAGUGGUUCAAUGCACUGGUUUUGAAAACCAGCAUAGUGAAGACUAUCGAGGGUUCGAAUCCCUCUCUUUCCG